rnacentral:rRNA from 1 species
UAAUCACUUUAUCAUUACUUUGAAUAAAAUAGAGUGUUUAAAGCAAAACAUUAAGUUAAUGAAUAUUCAAGCAUGGGACAAUGCUGAGGGGAUGUCUUCGGACAUUUCGAGAGAAGGAUUAAAAGGAACAAUUGGGGUGAUUCAGAAAAUAACGGGAGAGGUGAAAUUCCAUGAUCGCUAUAAGAUGCACGAGAGCGAAAGCAUUUCACUCAACUGGGUCCAUUAAUCAAGAACGAAAGUUAGGGGAUCGAAGACGAUCAGAUACCGUCGUAGUCCUAACUAUAAACGAUGUCAACCAAGGAUUGGAUGAAAUAAAGAAAUUCGCGGAUGAAGAAACAUUGUUUCGGAAACCAAGAGUUUCACAACUACCUUGUUCAGAACUUAAAGAGAAAUCUCGAGUUUAUGGACUUCAGGGGGAGUAUGGUCACAAGGCUGAAACUUAAAGGAAUUGACGGAAGGGCACACCAGGAGUGGAGCCUGCGGCUUAAUUUGACUCAACACGGGAAAACUUACCAAGACCGAACAGUAGAAGGAAUGACAGAUUAAGAGUUCUUUCAUGAUUUAUUGGGUAGUGGUGCAUGGCCGUUCUUAGUUGGUGGAGUGAUUUGUCAGGUUAAUUCCGGGAACGAACGAGACUGAGACCUAUUAAUUAGUUGCCUGCCUAUACGACAGGAAUCUCCGCAAGGUCAGGUGCCUCGGUACCACUUCUUAAAGGGACACAUUUCAAUUGUCU